CUACGGGAUGCACCAGUCGAGAAUAGUCUACAAUGGAGGAAACUCUGAUAGUGCGACGCCGCGUGGAUGAUGAAGCAUUUCGGUGUGUAAAGUCCUUUUCUGUAUGAGCAAUGCUUUUAUGGUUAAUACCCAUAAGAGAGAGAUAUUAGUGCAGGAAUAAGCCACGGCUAACUCCGUGCCAGCAGCCGCGGUAAUACGGGGGUGGCAAGCGUUGUCCGGAAUCACUAGGCGUAAAGGGCAAGUAGGCGGAUAGGUAAGUUAGAUGUUAAAGGCACCGGCUCAACCGGUGUAAGGCAUUUGAUACUGCAUAUCUAGAAUUAGGUGGGAGAAGACGGAAUUCCUGGUGUAGCGGUGGAAUGCGUAGAUAUCAGGAAGAACACCGGUGGCGAAGGCGGUCUUCUAUACCAUAAUUGACGCUCAAUUGCGAAGGUGUGGGUAUCGAACAGGAUUAGAUACCCCUGUAGUC
rnacentral:rRNA from 1 species